rnacentral:rRNA from 1 species
GAUGAACGCUGGCGGCGUGCUUAACACAUGCAAGUCGAACGAAGCACUUGACCUUCGGGUCUUGUGACUGAGUGGCGGACGGGUGAGUAACGCGUGGGUAACCUGCCCUGUACAGGGGGAUAACAGUUAGAAAUGACUGCUAAUACCGCAUAAGCAUACGGAGAGGCAUCUCUCUGUGUGAAAAACUCCGGUGGUACAGGAUGGGCCCGCGUCUGAUUAGCUAGUUGGUGAGGUAACGGCUCACCAAGGCGACGAUCAGUAGCCGACCUGAGAGGGUGACCGGCCACAUUGGGACUGAGACACGGCCCAA